rnacentral:rRNA from 1 species
CUUCUCGUGAAGAAAACAAAUCCUCCAGGAUGAAUGGAAUAAUAAUCCUAAUCAAAGAGUCACAACUCUAAGAAUCAAAACAUUGACAUCAUUUGAUCCAAUUACUUGAUCAACGAACCAAGUUACCCUGGGGAUAACAGCGCAAUCCAUUUCAAGAGCCCCUAUCGACAAAUGGGUUUACGACCUCGAUGUUGGAUCGGGGUAUCCCAGUGGCGCAGCCGCUACUAAAGGUUCGUUUGUUCAACGAUUAAC